CUUGACCGAGCCGAGCCACACCGGUUCGGUGCGCCCGCGGCCGUAGGUGGCCAGCAGCGCGGACGCCUC
rnacentral:antisense_RNA from 1 species